rnacentral:rRNA from 1 species
GACGAACGCUGGCGGCGUGCUUAACACAUGCAAGUCGAGCGGUAAGGCCUCUUCGGGGGUACACGAGCGGCUAACGGGUGAGUAACACGUGGGUGACCUGCCCUCACCUCUGGGAUAAGCCUGUGCAACUGGGUCUAAUACCGGAUAUGACCUUUCCUCGCAUGGGGUUUGGUGGAAAGGUGUUUCGGCCGGGGAUGGGUCCGCGGCCAGUCUGCUGGUUGGUGGGUGGAUGACCUACCUAGGCGACGACUGGUGGCCUGCCUGAGUGAGCGGCCGGCCACACUGUGAGAGAGAGACGGCACAGACUCCGGCGGGAGGCAGCAGUGGUGAAGAUUGCGCGGCGGGCGGAAGACUGACGCACCGACGCCGCGGGAGGGAUGACGUCGUGCGGGUAGUAGACCUCUCUCGAGCCCGACGAAGUGGGACGGUAGGGGUAGAAGAAGCACCGGCCAACUACGUG